GCGGUCGUGGCGGAAGUGGUAGACGCGCUAGCUUGAGGUGCUAGUGGGGCGACCCGUGGAGGUUCGAGUCCUCUCGACCGCACCA
rnacentral:tRNA from 1 species